AUGGAAGGGCUCAACGUCGACGAAGUCUUCCAGCACUUCCGCUUGAACCCUACAGAGGUGGAGGCCGUCACUUACUACCUUCCACGCCUCAUCGCCGGCGAGACGCACGGCGCCGAGAAGCUCAUCCACGACGCCCACGUCUACGACUGCGAGCCCAAGGAUCUGGCCGCCCGCUACGCGCCGGUGCCGCAGGCGGUGAGCAGCGGCGACCGCUUCUUCUUCACCACGUGCAAGCGCGCGAAGGGAAGGACCACCCGUUGCGCGCGCAAAGCCGGCGGCGGGACCUGGACCGUCAACACGACCACGGUCGUCACGCACGCGGGAGUCGACGUCGGCGAGAGGAAGAACCUGUCCUUCAAGAAGCAGGGCAAGUCCACCGGCUGGGUCAUGGAGGAGUACCGACUCCUGCCGCCGCCAGAGGCCGUCGUCGCCGACGAGGAGAAGGUCUUCUGCAAGAUUCACUUGUCCCAGCACGCUCCUGACGAGGCCCGCCGUGAAUCGGCCGCGUACAAGCAUCAAGGAAGAGCAGAGCCCGUGCCACGACCCGCGCCGCAACCAGAGCACGCAGGAAAGAGGCCAGCGCCGGGUGCCGUCGCGGAUCCUCAUCCGCCGCGCCCCAUGAAGAGGAUCCGAGUUGAUGUCCCCGUCCCGGAACCUGCCACCCCGUCGUUCACCGCCGCAGCACCGGUCUCCUUGCCGGCUGAGCCCAUACCUGAAGCUGAGGACGACAUGGCCUGGCUCUCUUGCACAAUGGAAGAACUUCUCGGGGAGGUACAACUGGAGGAAACUCUCCCGGUCCAAGCUAGAAACAGCAUCGAACAGAAUUUCUACUCUGAAUCACAGGAGCCGCAAAAUCUUUUCGCUGAUGCUGAAGAAGAAAUCGUGGGGACUUCCAAUGCCGCGGCCGAUCUUCAAGCUCCAUUUGAAGCAGAGUGUCAGGCCGAAGAGGCGCUCGACAUGGAGAUGCUUUUCGCUAUGACGGAUGAAGCAGCAGCAGAGCAGGAGCGGCAGGCCGUCUCGACGAACGACAACUCUUCCAUGGUCCAAGACAAGCCGAUCUUCCUCCAUCCAUCUGAAACAAAGUGGCAGGCGGACAAUGCCGCGGCCGAUCUUCAGGCUCCAUCGCUUCAGGGAGACGACCACCUGUUCAACUCGCGGCCGAGCUUCUCCGAUCCAUUUGAAGCAGCGUGGCGGGCCGAAGAGGCGCUCGAGAAGGAGAAUGCCGCGGCCAAUCUUCAGGCUGGACCGCUUGCGGGACACAACGACUUCUUCUGGUCUUCAACUGUAUAUUGA
rnacentral:rRNA from 1 species